rnacentral:rRNA from 1 species
UACGUAGGGACCAAGCGUUGUUCGGAUUUACUGGGCGUAAAGGGCGCGUAGGCGGCUUGUCAAGUCACUUGUGAAAUCUCUGGGCUUAACCCAGAACGGCCAAGUGAAACUGACAUGCUAGAGUGCAGAAGGGGCAAUCGGAAUUCUUGGUGUAGCGGUGAAAUGCGUAGAUAUCAAGAGGAACACCUGAGGUGAAGACGGGUUGCUGGGCCAACACUGACGCUGAUGCGCGAAAGCUAGGGGAGCAAACGGG